rnacentral:rRNA from 1 species
CGCAAGCCUGACGGAGCAAUACCGCGUGGGGGAGGAAGGCUCUUGGGUCGUAAACCUCUUUUCUCAGGGAAGAAUGACGGUACCUGAGGAAUCAGCAUCGGCUAACUCCGUGCCAGCAGCCGCGGUAAUACGGAGGAUGCAAGCGUUAUCCGGAAUGAUUGGGCGUAAAGCGUCCGCAGGUGGCAGUGUAAGUCUGCUGUCAAAGGUCAGGGCUCAACCCUGAACAGGCAGUGGAAACUACACAGCUAGAGUGCGGUGGGGGCAGAGGGAAUUCCCAGUGUAGCGGUGAAAUGCGUAGAGAUUGGGAAGAACACCGGUGGCGAAAGCGCUCUGCUAGGCCGUAACUGACACUCAUGGACGAAAGCUAGGGGAGCGAAUGGGAUU